CUGGUUACCUGGUUCUCUGCAUUUUGAUACAGCUUUUUUGUUGGAUCAGCUCAGUACCUGUAAAUAAAUGAUUUCUAUAUGUCUAAGCCCAAAGGGCAGUCUGUACACUUUAUUUUUAUCAUGUUAGAUCUUCGGAUGAAGGGGGGUAUAUUAUUUUUUUUAUUAUUAUUAUUAUUAUUAUUAUUAUUAAUCAGCUUCAUGGUUUCAAAAUAUUUUAAGGCUUCUGUUGAUGUCUCUGUGUGACUGUCAAUGUCUGUAGCCUUAUGCUGUCACUAUGGUGCAGGCUUGUUCGAUGACAGAGGACUGGUGACAGGGGAAGAGAGGGAAUUUCAAUUAUAGACAGGGCUGGAGGAGGUCCAUUUAUUCCAAUUGGCCCAGGCAACAACAGACUAAUUGGCUGAAGGUUCUGAUCAGCCAAGAAAUGGCAGUUAACUGUCAGUUGGGGCAGUUGGGAAAUGGCAGUUAACUGUCAGUUGGGGCAGUUGGGAAAUGGCAGUUAACUGUCAGUUAACUGUAAGGAGGGAGGUGUGAGGGGAAAACCAAAGAAAGCUGAAGUGAAAGUGGACAGCUGAGGCUUAAAUAUUAAGCUAUAUUUUGUGUUGAAGAUCAGAACAAGUGAGCUGGUGUCUACUUUAAGGUAGGAGGCUGCUCAGUUCUUACAAAUCAGUUCACAUUUAAAUAUGAACCUACCAAAAUUUGCUUGCUCUAAAAAGGUAUCUAAACCAAAACAGAGCCUUCAUUUGAAAAUUAUAUUUCUCCAGAUUUUGCAGUGCAAUCUUCUAGCCAUGUAUACAAAAAUGCCUAUACGGAUGUAAAGUUUCCGUAAAAAUGCAUAUACAGUGGUACCUUGGGUUAAGAACUUAAUUCGUUCUGGAAGUCCGUUCUUAACCUGAAACUGUUUGUAACCUGAGCUACCACUUUAGCUUAUGGGGCCUUCUGCUGCCACUGUGCUGCUGCCACAUGAUUUAUGUUCUCAUCCUGAAGCAAAGUUCUUAAUCUGAGGUACUAUUUCUGGGUUAGCGGAGACUGUAACCUGAAGCGUCUGUAACCUGAAGCAUCUGUAACCUGAGGUACCACUGUAUUAAUAAAAGUGAGCUACAAGUAUAAAAGAGGGAUACAAUGUAUUCCUUCAGGGGAAACUCCUUUGCAUAUAUAAUAGGGUACAAUUUGCACUAAAAUGCUGAAGAAUUGUCAAGCAUUCCCCCCUUUUUAACUUUCAUAGCAUAUAUUUCAAAAAUAAAGCAUGAAAUUCUCAUUGCAGUGUUGUGCCAAAGAACUACCAGCAUAUUCUGGCCUUGAUAUUUGCUGUCAAGGAGAUCAAUGAGAACCCCAAGAUCUUACCAAAUAUAACCUUAGGAUUCCACAUCUAUGAAAGUUACUUCAAUGAAAGGAUGACCUAUCGGGCUGCUCUGAACCUUCCCUCCACACUUAUACCCAACUACAAGUGCGGCACCCAGAAACACCUGGUGGCAGUUAUUGGGGGACUGGACUUUGAUACCUCCCUCUACAUGGCAGACAUAUUGAGCAUCUACAAGAUUCCCCAGGUAAGAUACAAUCACCAUGAUCUUUUCUAUCCAAAAACGUUUUGUAGAAUUGUGACUAAAAAAGGAGGGUGGUCCUGCUCUUCACAAAAUGUAUUUCCUGUUUGCUUUGCAAAUUUAAUAACCUGUGUAGCACAAAACAGAUAGUAAUGAGCCAUCAGCAGCCUUUUAACAUGUCUGUUCUAGAUCAGCAGCCUUCUCUCGCCUUCUUAAACACACUUGCCUUUUCUCUCUGCUGUAGGUCUGAGCAGUGCCUCCCCUGACUCCUCUAACUAGUCUGGUGUCCCAAGUGCAGUGGAUGAUGCAGCCCUAUUGGUAUAUUGAAGGAGGAUUCAAUGGCAGGACCAGUUGGUUUCUAUCUCAGGCAGCAGAAUGUAUUAGGUGUGACCUGGCCUCACCCAAUAAACCAAGAAGUGUGGGUGGUAUGGGAGAAGGUGGCCCUAUAGAUAUAUGAGGUUCAGACAAUUUAGAGCUUUUAAAGGUCAAUACUAGUAUUUUCAAUAGGUGACUUUCUCUUUAUGUUUGGAAAUAGUUCUGCACAGAGCUUCUACUGAGGCAUGCAGAGAAUGGUCUGGAUUGGCCAACAAACGUUGCACUUUGGCUCAUGUGUUGGCAGAAAGGUCCCAGCUUUCAACGGAGGUAAAGGAGGCAUGACCUACACAAGAUUGGCAACAGCAGCUUACUACUCUAGGCCCUUUACACCCUCAUGCAUUAAUUAGAGCUAAACAUGCUAGUUAUAUAAGGCUGCAAUUUAUCCCAUGGUUAGGGCUCAGGAAACACCACCCCCACCCCAGUCCUGCUUUCCGCCUUCCUGACUGAGAAGGUACUGUGCUUAUGGGAGACAGCUCAUCACACCUUGCUUCCUUACUCCAACUACUCAAAAAAACCAACAAAAAAACCCCCCCUCCAUUCUGCAAAUUGACAUUUCUUCCAACUUUGCCUAUGGCUUACUGGCUGGAGACUUAAGCUGCUCUUUUACAAAUCUGGAAGCCUGCCUAUCACGAGGCAGCUGUGCACACGUUCUGACAUUUGUGUGUGAUUCUGUGCGUCUGUAGUACAAUAGAAGUUUGGAAAGGAAGGGAAGGCAGGACGUCCUAAAAUGAGGAGAUGAAAUGUUGUGAUGAAACAAAGGGGAUGAAAUGGAGAAGGAAAAUUAGGGAGAGGGACAGCAGCAGAUCAGGAAAGCAAGGAGAAUGAACUUGAGACAGAAGAUGAGAAGAAAGGAGAGCAAAGCAGGGCAGCACUCCAUGGAGGCCAAAUCGGCCACCCUCCCAACUUUCUGGAGUCUCCUUCCUGAGGCAACUGGCUUAUCUCAUCUCUAUGGUGGGUGGGCCUUGAAUACACAUACAAUCCUUCUUCUGCAUUAAUGAAUUAUGCCUCUUUAUUCCUUUUAGCUCACUUAUGGUUCCUUUGCUCCAG